CACAUUGAGUCAGUCAAAUCGUAGCCUAUGAGGUCUAUCCGAGGCGUGAUUAUUGCUAGUUGAAAACUUUACCCAAUACCCC
rnacentral:snRNA from 1 species